rnacentral:rRNA from 1 species
CUCAGGAUGAACGCUAGCGGCAGGCUUAACACAUGCAAGUCGAGGGGCAGCGCGGGGCAGCAAUGUUCUGGCGGCGACCGGCGGAAGGGUGCGUAACGCGUGAGCGACAUGCCCGUUGCCCGGGGACAACCGGUGGAAACGCCGACUAAUCCCCGAUGGGACGGAGGCCCUCAUGGGUCUCCGUUGAAAGUUACGGCGGCGACGGAUUGGCUCGCGUCCGAUUAGCUUGUUGGCGGGGUAACGGCCCACCAAGGCUACGAUCGGUAGGGGUUCUGAGAGGAAGGUCCCCCACAAUGGAACUGAGACACGGUCCAUACUCCUACGGGAGGCAGCAGUGAGGAAUAUUGGUCAAUGGGCGGAAGCCUGAACCAGCCAUGCCGCGUGCGGGAAGGAGGCCCUAUGGGCUGUGAACCGCUUUUGCCUGGGGGCAAUAAGGGCGUCGUGCACGUCCGAUGAGAGUACCAGGCGAAUAAGCAUCGGCUAACUCCGUGCCAGCAGCCGCGGUAAUACGGGGGAUGCGAGCGUUAUCCGGAUUCAUUGGGUUUAAAGGGUGCGUAGGCUGUGCGUCAAGUCAGGGGUGAAAUUCCGGGGCUCAACUCCGGGGCUGCCCUUGAUACUGUCGCGCUGGAGUGCGGAUGCCGCCGGAGGAAUGAGUGGUGUAGCGGUGAAAUGCUUAGAUAUCACUCAGAACACCGAUUGCGAAGGCAUCUGGCGAAUCCGUAACUGACGCUGAGGCACGAAAGCGUGGGGAUAGAACAGGAUUAGAUACCCUGGUAUUCCACGCCGUAAACGAUGAUGGCUAACCGCCGGCGACACACUGUCGGUGGCCAAGCGAAAGCGAUAAGCCAUCCACCUGGGGAGUACGUCGGCAACGAUGCAACUCAAA